rnacentral:rRNA from 1 species
GGGUUGUGAGGUUAAGCGACUAAGCGUACACGGUGGAUGCCCUGGCAGUCAGAGGCGAUGAAGGACGUGCUAAUCUGCGAUAAGCGUCGGUGAGGUGAUAUGAACCGUUAUAACCGGCGAUUUCCGAAUGGGGAAACCCAGUGUGUUUCGACACACUAUCAUUAACUGAAUCCAUAGGUUAAUGAGGCGAACCGGGGGAACUGAAACAUCUAAGUACCCCGAGGAAAAGAAAUCAACCGAGAUUCCCCCAGUAGCGGCGAGCGAACGGGGAGGAGCCCAGAGCCUGAAUCAGUGUGUGUGUUAGUGGAAGCGUCUGGAAAGGCGCGCGAUACAGGGUGACAGCCCCGUACACAAAAAUGCACAUAUUGUGAGCUCGAUGAGUAGGGCGGGACACGUGGUAUCCUGUCUGAAUAUGGGGGGACCAUCCUCCAAGGCUAAAUACUCCUGACUGACCGAUAGUGAACCAGUACCGUGAGGGAAAGGCGAAAAGAACCCCGGCGAGGGGAGUGAAAAAGAACCUGAAACCGUGUACGUACAAGCAGUGGGAGCCUCUUAAUGGGGUGACUGCGUACCUUUUGUAUAAUGGGUCAGCGACUUAUAUUCUGUAGCAAGGUUAACCGAAUAGGGGAGCCGAAGGGAAACCGAGUCUUAACUGGGCGCUAAGUUGCAGGGUAUAGACCCGAAACCCGGUGAUCUAGCCAUGGGCAGGUUGAAGGUUGGGUAACACUAACUGGAGGACCGAACCGACUAAUGUUGAAAAAUUAGCGGAUGACUUGUGGCUGGGGGUGAAAGGCCAAUCAAACCGGGAGAUAGCUGGUUCUCCCCGAAAGCUAUUUAGGUAGCGCCUCGUGAAUUCAUCUCCGGGGGUAGAGCACUGUUUCGGCAAGGGGGUCAUCCCGACUUACCAACCCGAUGCAAACUGCGAAUACCGGAGAAUGUUAUCACGGGAGACACACGGCGGGUGCUAACGUCCGUCGUGAAGAGGGAAACAACCCAGACCGCCAGCUAAGGUCCCAAAGUCAUGGUUAAGUGGGAAACGAUGUGGGAAGGCCCAGACAGCCAGGAUGUUGGCUUAGAAGCAGCCAUCAUUUAAAGAAAGCGUAAUAGCUCACUGGUCGAGUCGGCCUGCGCGGAAGAUGUAACGGGGCUAAACCAUGCACCGAAGCUGCGGCAGCGACACUAUGUGUUGUUGGGUAGGGGAGCGUUCUGUAAGCCUGUGAAGGUGGCCUGUGAGGGUUGCUGGAGGUAUCAGAAGUGCGAAUGCUGACAUAAGUAACGAUAAAGCGGGUGAAAAGCCCGCUCGCCGGAAGACCAAGGGUUCCUGUCCAACGUUAAUCGGGGCAGGGUGAGUCGACCCCUAAGGCGAGGCCGAAAGGCGUAGUCGAUGGGAAACAGGUUAAUAUUCCUGUACUUGGUGUUACUGCGAAGGGGGGACGGAGAAGGCUAUGUUGGCCGGGCGACGGUUGUCCCGGUUUAAGCGUGUAGGCUGGUUUUCCAGGCAAAUCCGGAAAACCAAGGCUGAGGCGUGAUGACGAGGCACUACGGUGCUGAAGCGACAAAUGCCCUGCUUCCAGGAAAAGCCUCUAAGCAUCAGGUAACAUCAAAUCGUACCCCAAACCGACACAGGUGGUCAGGUAGAGAAUACCAAGGCGCUUGAGAGAACUCGGGUGAAGGAACUAGGCAAAAUGGUGCCGUAACUUCGGGAGAAGGCACGCUGAUAUGUAGGUGAAGCGACUUGCUCGUGGAGCUGAAAUCAGUCGAAGAUACCAGCUGGCUGCAACUGUUUAUUAAAAACACAGCACUGUGCAAACACGAAAGUGGACGUAUACGGUGUGACGCCUGCCCGGUGCCGGAAGGUUAAUUGAUGGGGUUAGCGGUAACGCGAAGCUCUUGAUCGAAGCCCCGGUAAACGGCGGCCGUAACUAUAACGGUCCUAAGGUAGCGAAAUUCCUUGUCGGGUAAGUUCCGACCUGCACGAAUGGCGUAAUGAUGGCCAGGCUGUCUCCACCCGAGACUCAGUGAAAUUGAACUCGCUGUGAAGAUGCAGUGUACCCGCGGCAAGACGGAAAGACCCCGUGAACCUUUACUAUAGCUUGACACUGAACAUUGAGCCUUGAUGUGUAGGAUAGGUGGGAGGCUUUGAAGUGUGGACGCCAGUCUGCAUGGAGCCGACCUUGAAAUACCACCCUUUAAUGUUUGAUGUUCUAACGUUGGCCCGUAAUCCGGGUUGCGGACAGUGUCUGGUGGGUAGUUUGACUGGGGCGGUCUCCUCCUAAAGAGUAACGGAGGAGCACGAAGGUUGGCUAAUCCUGGUCGGACAUCAGGAGGUUAGUGCAAUGGCAUAAGCCAGCUUGACUGCGAGCGUGACGGCGCGAGCAGGUGCGAAAGCAGGUCAUAGUGAUCCGGUGGUUCUGAAUGGAAGGGCCAUCGCUCAACGGAUAAAAGGUACUCCGGGGAUAACAGGCUGAUACCGCCCAAGAGUUCAUAUCGACGGCGGUGUUUGGCACCUCGAUGUCGGCUCAUCACAUCCUGGGGCUGAAGUAGGUCCCAAGGGUAUGGCUGUUCGCCAUUUAAAGUGGUACGCGAGCUGGGUUUAGAACGUCGUGAGACAGUUCGGUCCCUAUCUGCCGUGGGCGCUGGAGAACUGAGGGGGGCUGCUCCUAGUACGAGAGGACCGGAGUGGACGCAUCACUGGUGUUCGGGUUGUCAUGCCAAUGGCACUGCCCGGUAGCUAAAUGCGGAAGAGAUAAGUGCUGAAAGCAUCUAAGCACGAAACUUGCCCCGAGAUGAGUUCUCCCUGACUCCUUGAGAGUCCUGAAGGAACGUUGAAGACGACGACGUUGAUAGGCCGGGUGUGUAAGCGCAGCGAUGCGUUGAGCUAACCGGUACUAAUGAACCGUGAGGCUUAACCUUACAACGCCGAAG